CUGUCCACCUCGGGAGCUGACACGAUAAAUGCGGAGAAUGAGUAGCCACUGCUGUUUGCCCUGGCCCAUCAAUGAGAAGAUCUGCUCUUAGAGCCCUGCUUUCCUGCUGAAGGCCCCGAAAUCACCUGUGUUCCAGGCCACCCGCUAACAAUAAAUAAUGCUCCCCUGAUGUGGGGAAUUAGCUCAAGUGGUAGAGCGCUUGCUUAGCAUGCAAGAGGUAGUGGGAUCGAUGCCCACAUUCUCCAAGCUUUAUUAUUUAGACAUCGUGUCUCCAAACACUCA
rnacentral:tRNA from 1 species